GAGUUUGAUCAUGGCUCAGAUUGAACGCGGGCGGCAUGCUUUACACAUGCAAGUCGAACGGCAUCGGGGAAGUGCUUGCACUUCUGCCGGCGAGUGGCGAACGGGUGAGUAAUGCAUUGGAACGUACCGGGUAAUGGGGGAUAACUUGCCGAAAGGUAAGCUAAUACCGCAUACGCUUUAAGAAGGAAAGCGGGGGAUCAUCUGACCUCGCGUUAUCCGAGCGGCCAAUGUCUGAUUAGGUAGUUGGUGGGGUAAAAGCCUACCAAGCCGACGAUCAGUAGCGGGUCUGAGAGGAUGAUCCGCCACACUGGGACUGAGACACGGCCCAGACUCCUACGGGAGGCAGCAGUGGGGAAUUUUGGACAAUGGGCGCAAGCCUGAUCCAGCCAUGCCGCGUGUCUGAAGAAGGCCUUCGGGUUGUAAAGGACUUUUGUCGGGGAAGAAAAGGCAGAUGCUAAUAUCGUUUGCUGAUGACGUACCCGAAGAAUAAG
rnacentral:rRNA from 1 species